rnacentral:rRNA from 1 species
AACGAACGCUGGCGGCGUGCCUAACACAUGCAAGUCGAACGUGAUCCGCCCUUCGGGGUGGUGAAAGUGGCGCACGGGUGAGUAACGCGUGGAUAAUCUGCCCGAGGAUUUGGGAUAACAUCUCGAAAGGGGUGCUAAUACCGAAUAAGCCCACGGGGUCUACGGAUCUUGCGGGAAAAGGGGGGGACCUUCGGGCCUCCUGUCCUUGGAUGAGUCUGCGUACCAUUAGCUAGUUGGUGGGGUAAUGGCCUACCAAGGCGACGAUGGUUAGCUGGUCUGAGAGGAUGAUCAGCCACACUGGAACUGAGACACGGUCCAGACUCCUACGGGAGGCAGCAGUGGGGAAUUUUGCGCAAUGGGGGAAACCCUGACGCAGCAACGCCGCGUGGGUGAUGAAGGCCUUCGGGUCGUAAAGCUCUGUCUGGAGGGAAGAAAUGAUUGGGAGCUAAUACCUCUUGAUCUUGACGGUACCUCUGAAGGAAGCACCGGCUAACUCCGUGCCAGCAGCCGCGGUAAUACGGAGGGUGCAAGCGUUGUUCGGAAUUAUUGGGCGUAAAGCGCGUGUAGGCGGUCUUUUAAGUCUGAUGUGAAAGCCCCGGGCUCAACCUGGGAAGUGCAUUGGAAACUGGGAGGCUUGAGUACGGGAGAGGAGAGUGGAAUUCCUAGUGUAGGAGUGAAAUCUGUAGAUAUUAGGAGGAACACCGGUGGCGAAGGCGGCUCUCUGGACCGAUACUGACGCUGAGACGCGAAAGCGUGGGUAGCAAACAGGAUUAGAUACCCUGGUAGUCCACGCCGUAAACGAUGAGUACUAGGUGUUGCGGGUAUUGACCCCUGCAGUGCCGUAGCUAACGCAUUAAGUACUCCGCCUGGGAAGUACGGUCGCAAGACUAAAACUCAAAGGAAUUGACGGGGGCCCGCACAAGCGGUGGAGCAUGU